rnacentral:rRNA from 1 species
UACGGAGGAUCCGAGCGUUAUCCGGAUUUAUUGGGUUUAAAGGGUGCGCAGGCGGGAGAUUAAGUCGGCGGUGAAAUUUUGCAGCUUAACUGUAAAAGUGCCUUCGAAACUGGUUUCCUUGAGUGUAGAUGAAGUAGGCGGAAUUUGUGGUGUAGCGGUGAAAUGCAUAGAUAUCACGAGGAACUCCGAUUGCGCAGGCAGCUUACUAAACUACUACUGACGCUCAGGCACGAAGGCGUGGGGAUCAAACAGGAUUAGAUACCCCGGGUAGUCCCU